rnacentral:tRNA from 1 species
UCCCAGGAGGCUCAGUGGUGAAGCAUCUGCCUGCAGUGCAGGAGCCCCAGGUUCGAUCCCUAGGUCGGGAA